rnacentral:misc_RNA from 1 species
GAACGCACCUUGCGCCCUUUGGCUAUUCCGAAGGGCAUGCCUGUUUGAGUAUCAUGAACACCUCAACUCUCAUGGUUUGCCGUGAUGAGCUUGGACUUUGGGGGUCUUGCUGGCCUACGGUCAGCUCCCCUAAAAUGAAUCAGCUUGCCAGUGUUUGGUGGGAUCACAGGUGUGAUAACUAUCUACGCUUGUGGCCUUCCACCAAUUAACUUCCAGCAAUGGAGGUUCGCUGGAGCUCAUAAAUGUCUCUCCUCAGUGAAGACAGCUUUUUGAACGUUUGAUCUCAAAUCAGGUAGGACUACCCGCUGAACUUAAG